UGUAUUCACUACUGUAAGUCGCUCUGGAUAAGAGCAUCUGCUAAAUGACAUUUU
rfam:Salmo salar isolate Sally breed double haploid chromosome ssa10, whole genome shotgun sequence.